AGAAAAAAUGCUUUAAAUCUAACGUUGCCU
rnacentral:piRNA from 1 species